rnacentral:misc_RNA from 1 species
GUGAAUCAUCGAAUCUUUGAACGCACAUUGCGCCUCCAGUAACAAGGAGGCAUGCCUGUCUGAGCGUCAUUUAAACCAAAUGACUCGGUUCCUUCCGGGUCGUCUUGGGCCUCGCUUUCGAGCGUCCCCUCAAAACGAUCGGUCUACGGCGGAUGAGAUCCAUCAGGACUUGACCGUUCGAGGACCCUAACGUCCGAAUUGACCUCAGAUCAGGUAGGGUUACCGCCUGAACUUAAGCAUAUCAAUAAGCGGAGGA